UACGUAGGGUGCAAGCGUUGUCCGGAAUCAUUGGGCGUAAAGAGCGUGUAGGCGGCCCGAUCAGUCCGCUGUAAAAGUCCAGGGCUCAACCCUGGAAAGCCGGUGGAUACUGUCAGGCUAGAGUCCGGAAGGGGCGAGUGGAAUUCCUGGUGUAGCGGUGAAAUGCGCAGAUAUCAGGAGGAACACCAAUGGCGAAGGCAGCUCGCUGGGACGGUACUGACGCUGAGACGCGAAAGCGUGGGGAGCAAACAGG
rnacentral:rRNA from 1 species